CAGUCGAACGGAAAGGCCCUUCGGGGUACUCGAGUGGCGAACGGGUGAGUAACACGUGGGUGAUCUGCCCUGCACUUCGGGAUAAGCCUGGGAAACUGGGUCUAAUACCGGAUAGGACUACGGCCUGCAUGGGUUGUGGUGGAAAGCUUUUGCGGUGUGGGAUGGGCCCGCGGCCUAUCAGCUUGUUGGUGGGGUGAUGGCCUACCAAGGCGACGACGGGUAGCCGGCCUGAGAGGGUGACCGGCCACACUGGGACUGAGAUACGGCCCAGACUCCUACGGGAGGCAGCAGUGGGGAAUAUUGCACAAUGGGCGCAAGCCUGAUGCAGCGACGCCGCGUGGGGGAUGACGGCCUUCCGGGUUGUAAACCUCUUUCAGCAGGGACGAAGCGCAAGUGACGGUACCUGCAGAAGAAGGACCGGCCAACUACGUGCCAGCAGCCGCGGUAAUACGUAGGGUCCGAGCGUUGUCCGGAAUUACUGGGCGUAAAGAGCUCGUAGGUGGUUUGUCGCGUUGUUCGUGAAAACUCACAGCUCAACUGUGGGCGUGCGGGCGAUACGGGCAGACUGGAGUACUGCAGGGGAGACUGGAAUUCCUGGUGUAGCGGUGGAAUGCGCAGAUAUCAGGAGGAACACCGGUGGCGAAGGCGGGUCUCUGGGCAGUAACUGACGCUGAGGAGCGAAAGCGUGGGGAGCGAACAGGAUUAGAUACCCUGGUAGUCCACGCCGUAAACGGUGGGUACUAGGUGUGGGUUUCCUUCCUUGGGAUCCGUGCCGUAGCUAACGCAUUAAGUACCCCGCCUGGGGAGUACGGCCGCAAGGCUAAAACUCAAAGAAAUUGACGGGGGCCCGCACAAGCGGCGGAGCAUGUGGAUUAAUUCGAUGCAACGCGAAGAACCUUACCUGGGUUUGACAUGCACAGGACGUGCCUAGAGAUAGGUAUUCCCUUGUGGCCUGUGUGCAGGUGGUGCAUGGCUGUCGUCAGCUCGUGUCGUGAGAUGUUGGGUUAAGUCCCGCAACGAGCGCAACCCUUAUCUUAUGUUGCCAGCGCGUAAUGGCGGGGACUCGUGAGAGACUGCCGGGGUCAACUCGGAGGAAGGUGGGGAUGACGUCAAGUCAUCAUGCCCCUUAUGUCCAGGGCUUCACACAUGCUACAAUGGCCGGUACAAAGGGCUGCGAUGCCGUGAGGUGGAGCGAAUCCUUUCAAAGCCGGUCUCAGUUCGGAUCGGGGUCUGCAACUCGACCCCGUGAAGUCGGAGUCGCUAGUAAU
rnacentral:rRNA from 1 species